rnacentral:rRNA from 1 species
AACGAACGCUGGCGGCGUGCCUAACACAUGCAAGUCGAACGAGAAAGGCCCCUUCGGGGGCCCGGUACAGUGGCGCACGGGUGAGUAACACGUGGGUAAUCUGCCCUCGAGUGGGGAAUAACCCAGGGAAACUCGGGCUAAUACCGGAUGUGCUCCUCGCACGCAAGUGCACGGAGUAAAGGAAGCUUCGGCCUCCGCUUCGGGAGGGGCCCGCGGCCCAUUAGCUAGUUGGUGAGGUAACGGCUUGCCAAGGCAACGAUGGGUAGCUGGUCUGAGAGGACGAUCAGCCACACUGGGACUGAGACACGGCCCAGACUCCUACGGGAGGCAGCAGUGGGGAAUCUUGCGCAGUGCGCGAAAGCGUGACGCAGCAACGCCGCGUGGGGGAAGAAGGCCUUCGGGUUGUAAACCCCUUUCAGGAGGGACGAAGGCAUGGCGGUGAACAGCCGUCCGUGCUGACGGUACCUCCAGAAGAAGCCCCGGCUAACUACGUGCCAGCCGCCGCCGUAAGAC